rnacentral:rRNA from 2 species
UGCAAGUCGAACGAUGAAGCCCUUCGGGGUGGAUUAGUGGCGAACGGGUGAGUAACACGUGGGCAAUCUGCCCUUCACUCUGGGACAAGCCUUGGAAACGAGGUCUAAUACCGGAUAACACUCCCAUUCUCCUGGAUGGGGGUUAAAAGCUCCGGCGGUGAAGGAUGAGCCCGCGGCCUAUCAGCUAGUUGGUGAGGUAAUGGCUCACCAAGGCGACGACGGGUAGCCGGCCUGAGAGGGCGACCGGCCACACUGGGACUGAGACACGGCCCAGACUCCUACGGGAGGCAGCAGUGGGGAAUAUUGCACAAUGGGCGAAAGCCUGAUGCAGCGACGCCGCGUGAGGGAUGACGGCCUUCGGGUUGUAAACCUCUUUCAGCAGGGAAGAAGCGAAAGUGACGGUACCUGCAGAAGAAGCGCCGGCUAACUACGUGCCAGCAGCCGCGGUAAUACGUAGGGCGCAAGCGUUGUCCGGAAUUAUUGGGCGUAAAGAGCUCGUAGGCGGCUUGUCACGUCGAUUGUGAAAGCUCGGGGCUUAACCCCGAGUCUGCAGUCGAUACGGGCUAGCUAGAGUGUGGUAGGGGAGAUCGGAAUUCCUGGUGUAGCGGUGAAAUGCGCAGAUAUCAGGAGGAACACCGGUGGCGAAGGCGGAUCUCUGGGCCAUUACUGACGCUGAGGAGCGAAAGCGUGGGGAGCGAACAGGAUUAGAUACCCUGGUAGUCCACGCCGU